rnacentral:rRNA from 1 species
AACGAACGCUGGCGGCAUGCCUAACACAUGCAAGUCGAACGAGACCUUCGGGUCUAGUGGCGCACGGGUGCGUAACGCGUGGGAACCUGCCCUUAGGUUCGGAAUAACUCCCCGAAAGGGGUGCUAAUACCGGAUAAUGUCUUCGGACCAAAGAUUUAUCGCCUUUGGAUGGGCCCGCGUUGGAUUAGCUAGUUGGUAGGGUAAAAGCAUACCAAGGCGACGAUCCAUAGCUGGUCUGAGAGGAUGAUCAGCCACACUGGGACUGGGACACGGCCCAGACUCCUACGGGAGGCAGCAGUGGGGAAUAUUGGAAAAUGGGCGAAAGCCUGAUCCAGCAAUGCCGCGUGAGUGAUGAAGGCCUUAGGGUUGUAAAGCUCUUUUACCCGGGACGAUAAUGACAGUACCGGGAGAAUAAGCUCCGGCUAACUCCGUG